rnacentral:lncRNA from 1 species
UACAGUAGAAAGUGUUAAGUUUGUGAUCUUCGCUAGAUUACUCCGGUCCCUAGUGUGGAUAAGUAUGUAAAUGGAUAAGGACAGGGAAGCAAACACAAGAUGUACGUGGUUCACCCAGAUUGGCUACGUCCACGGAGUAGAGGAGUUCUCAUUAAUUGUGAAGGGUUUACACAAGUACAUAGGUUCAAUCUCUCAUUUAGUGAGUACUAGUGAAUGAUUUAGUACGAAUGACAUUAGGAAAUAUUGUGAGAGAAUGAUCUAUAUUUAUAGAAGAGAGUUUCUAGUUUCAUUCUGACAUUGACACAUGUCGUGUUGUGAUUGGCUUCUAAUGUUGACACGUGUCGCGCUAUGAUUAGCUUCUAAUGUCGACACGUGUCGCGCUGUGAUUGGCCUCCUGCUUGGAGGGAAACUCUUC